UGUAUGUGACAGUUAGAGCAGCAGCGCUGACACGCUUCACCUUCCCUUGGAAACCACAGAAACCAGCUCCGAAGGUACAAUAAACAGAAAUGGGGUCCAACAUGUCUGGUGUGAAGCUGCCUGGGACGACCACAGUGAAUGCAUCGUCCCAACAGUGAAGCAGAGGUGGGAAGUGUGAUGACGUGGGGCUGCAUGAGUGCAAAAGGUGUUGGGGAGAUGACAUUUAUACGAAUGCCUGUUGAUAAACCAAAACACUGAAUGACAAGAUGACUGUAGAAGUUUGGUAGAAGAGGAACAUUCUGGCACGAUAAUGAUCCAAGUCAUCAGUGUGUCAUCAAAGUAAUGGUGGACAUACAAAGUGUUUAAAAAAAAAAAAAAGAUUGAAUAUCAGUAAUGAUGUGUACUGCCUUUUGUUGCUGUACGUUCCUACUAUGGGGCUUAUAUUUUUAAUAAAGCAAAUCUAAAAUGUU